rnacentral:tRNA from 1 species
AGUGGUGUAGCUCAAUUGGGAGAGCACCUGUUUUACAAGCAGGGGGAGAAGGUUCGAAACCUUCCUCCACUA